rnacentral:rRNA from 1 species
CAGCAGCCGCGGGAAUACGGAGGGUGCAAGCGUUAUCCGGAUUUAUUGGGUUUAAAGGGUCCGUAGGCGGAUCUGUAAGUCAGUGGUGAAAUCUCACAGCUUAACUGUGAAACUGCCAUUGAUACUGCAGGUCUUGAGUAAAUUUGAAUUGGCUGGAAUAAGUAGUGUAGCGGUGAAAUGCAUAGAUAUUACUUAGAACACCAAUUGCGAAGGCAGGUCACUAAGAUUUAACUGACGCUGAUGGACGAAAGCGUGGGGAGCGAACAGGAUUAGAUACCCCCGUAGUCCCUGUCUCUUAUAC